GAGGCAUACAUCACAAUUUGGAAUUAUGCAUUGGUUUAUCAAUUUACUUGUUUAUUGUCACCCUGCUGCCCAGAUAUGACUUCAUGAGGACAGUGAUGUGUGUUCUGAAAUUGUGAACCAUGAGUCUAGUACUUAAUGAUCUGCUUAUCUGCUGCCGUCAACUAGAACAUGAUAGAGCUACAGAACGAAAGAAAGAAGUUGAGAAAUUUAAGCGCCUGAUUCGAGAUCCUGAAACAAUUAAACAUCUAGAUCGGCAUUCAGAUUCCAAACAAGGAAAAUAUUUGAAUUGGGAUGCUGUUUUUAGAUUUUUACAGAAAUAUAUUCAGAAAGAAACAGAAUGUCUGAGAAUAGCAAAACCAAAUGUAUCAGCCUCAACACAAGCCUCCAGGCAGAAAAAGAUGCAGGAAAUCAGUAGUUUGGUCAAAUACUUCAUCAAAUGUGCAAACAGAAGUAAGUGAUGUUAUAAAUUAUAAAUAAAUGGCUUAACAGAUUACUGUCGCGUGAGUUUUUUUUUUUUUUCAGAUCAUUUUAAGGACUUAACUGUUGCAUAAGUUUGUUCUAAAUAGAAUAAGAUAAAAGUUGAGUGUAAGUACAUAUAAUGAUUUUUAUUUUUAUUAAAAGGUUUUUUUUUAGGGCUAGUCAAGUGAAGCAGUGGGAGUUUAGAAGGAACAAAGAAAUCUGUAACUGGUUGUGAUCAAUUCGUUGUAAACACCACUGCACUCAGGCCAGCCUGAUUUUUAAUAUUACAAGUUCAAAUAUUUGGGGAAAUUUAUGCAAGCAUAGAAUGACAGAAAUCUGAGGAUUGAAGGGAUUUAUUUAUUUAAGAGAUAGGGUGUCACUCUGUCACCCAGGCUGGAGUGCAAUGGUGUGAUGAUAGCUCACUGCAGGCUGAAGCUUCUCUGUUCCUAAGUGAUCCUCCUGUCUUGGCUUCCUAGUAGCUAGGACUACAGAAGUGCAUCACCAUGCCAGGCUGAUUUUUUUUUUUUUUUUUAAGAGGUGUUAUUUCACUGUUCUGCCCAGGCUGAUCUUGAACUCCUGGCCUCAAGCAGUCCUCCCCCUGCUCAGCCUCCCUAGUUAUUGGUAUUACAGAUGUGAGCCACCAUGCCCAGUGAAGGAAUUAAAAAUUACUGUUUAAACUACCCAGUCUUGGAUGCCCUCUCUACGUCCCUAGCCUUUAGGUAGAAGUGCAGUCUUCAUGAUUGAAUAUACUUUCAAGGCUUUCUUUUCCAUCUUUGAAUAGCAUUAACAGUAUUAAAAACUGGCCAGGCGCAGUGGCUCAUUCCUGUAAUCCCAGCACUUUGGGAGGCCAAGGCAGGCAGAUCACCUGAGGUCAGGAGAUCGAGACCAGCCUGACCAACAUGGCAAAACCCCGUCUCUACUAAAAAUACAAAAAUUAAUUGGGCAUUGUGGCGCACGCUUGUAAUUCCAGCUACUUGGGAGGCUGAGGCACUAGAAUUGCUUGAACCCAGGAGGCAGAGGUUGUGGUGAGCUGAGAUUACGCCACUACACUCCAUCCUGGGCGACAGAGCGAGACUGUCAAAAAAAGAAAAGUAUUAAAAACCUGUCUUUUGUUACUGCUUCUCCCUUCUGAGAGUAUAUCAAAAACUCCUAUUUAUGUUUUUAGUGUGACAUCCUUAGAGAUGUUUGAAAGUAGCCACAAUAUUUCCUAAGUCCUCAUCUCUAAAGUUCAUAAUCUCACUUUCUUCAGCUCACGUGACCUAGGUUUUAUGCUACUCUCCUCUGAAUAUUCUUCACUUUAAUUGUCUGUCUUAAAGUGUGGGCCUCUACUUACAGGGAAGAGGCCAGAAAAACAAACAAAAAAGUGUGGGACUCAUUUUUUUUAAUACAGGCUCUUGCUCUGUAGCCCAGGCUGGAGUGCAUGCAGUGGUGCAAUCUUGGCUCACUGCAGCCUCCGCCUCCCAGGCUCAGGUGAUCCUCCUGCCUCAGCCUCCCAAGUAGCUGGGACUAUAGGCAUGGGCCACCAUGUCUGGCUAAUUUUUGUAUUUUUAAUAGAGACAGGGUUUCACUGUGUUGGCCAGGAGUUCGAGACCAGCCUGGCCAAUAUAGCGAAACCCCAUCUCUACUAAAAGUACAAAAAAUAGCUGGGUGUGGUGGCGGGUGCCUGUAAUCCCAGCUUCUCGAGAAG
rnacentral:lncRNA from 1 species